rnacentral:misc_RNA from 1 species
UUUUUUUUUUUUUGUGAUAAAAAAAAAUAAAAAGAUAAAUGAGCAGAAUUCAAUUGAAAUGGAUUUAAUUUUAUAAUUUUCAAUCUAUUACGCUCUAUCCCUCGAAACCAACGCCGUCGGGUCGUUUCACUCACCGCGUCAAUUUCUUCUCGCCUCCGUUCUCAGUCACAUUAACGCUCGAUUUCUUUCCCCUCCCUCUACUCUCGAUUUCCCUUAUUUGUUGUGUCUUACACUCUCCGUUUUGAAGAAUCUCCUCAGACCUCAAGGGUCAGUUCACUAUCAAGGAGGACAAGGACCCUUUUGCUUGCUACUUCUCACUUCACUUAUUUCUUCUCUCCUUACAGUUCAAGAAACACCCAAACAACACAGGUGAGUAAAAAUUAACCCUCUUGCUUGCUAUCUUUAUGACCUGAUAGCUCUCGAUUAUGGAUUAUUUCCUCUAUUCUGCAAUUUUCUAUGAUUUGCACGUCUUUUAUUUAUUUCACAUUUCUGCCAUUUUCAGUCUUGUGGAUUAAUGAAAUUCCUAGAACAGUUGUUGUUUGAUUAUGAUUGGUGAAUCGUUUUGCCUCUGAAAUGUUAAAUGUACAGUAUCUGAUAUAUAAAGCAAGAUGGGAAAUGGAAAGUUAGUACCAAAAUUGAUGGCAAAAUGGUCAAGCAGGAUUGCCAUUUGAAGCACAAGACCUUCUUUGUGACUUUUUCUAUUGUUGUAUUAGGUAUUAAGUGAUAAUUGUUUAGGUACUUGUUCUGCAUGUAUAAUUAUUGCCCAUUUAUUGGUCCUAACUAAAUUCUUCUGCAAAUGCUUGGAUCGAUAAUAAAAUAUUUGUUUGUUCAAUAAGAUUUGAAAUUUGAAAAUUUCUACCAAUUAACUAUAGCUUGAUUGUAUUAGAGUAGUAUACAUGCUGUAAGGUCUCGAGUUUCCUAGUAAGAGCCAAAUAUAUCAAAAAAAGAAAAAAAAAAUCAUUAGUGUUACUGCAUUAUGCCUCUUUAGUGCUACUUUGGCAUUAUGGUUGGAUGACCAAAACUGCUUUUCACCAUUUUAGAUGAUGUUUAAAAAAGCAGUAGUGCCCGUUUGUUAUUGUGGUGGGAGGGCCAAAAUUGAUUUUCAGGAAAAGAAAAAAAGCCAUUUUAGAUGUUGUUUAAAAAAACAAUUUGGAAAAAAAAAGUUAUUGUUACUUUAGUGAUCUUGUUACUAAAACUUAUUGAAUUUAUUCUUAAAUCAUUUUUUAAUCUCAACAGCAAUUCCAAUAAUAAUGUCAAACAGAUCUUUAAUGUGCUGCUGCUGUUAUUCAAGUGUUCAUGUCAAGAGUGGUGAACUGAACUGAUGAUGGCCCAAAAUAGAAUGUAUGACUUUUAAAGAAUGUGCAACAUAAGCCCAAAACUGAUGAAUCAAAUCAAAUAGAACUAGUUCAGUUCGAUUCAGUUUGGUUUUAGUCUUUGUUUGGAUCGGUUUAGAUUCUAAGUUAGUUCUGUUUCUCGGUUUUUCAACUAAACUGGCUAAUGCUUACCCCUAAAAACUAUGAAAAAAAAAGACUGCUUUAAAUGUUUGUGCAGCAACAUGACACCGUAUUAAUCCUCGACACUUGCAUUCAUUUUUUUUAAUAGUCUCAGCCCUCUGGUCUGUGCUAAUUGCUAAAUUAGCAAUUAUGCAGUUGGUUGUGGUGGCUGAGGACAAGAUCUAAUGCAGUGUUGGAGUCGUCGCAGUGUUAGUCUUUGCAGUACAGUUUCUUUAGGGAGAUGGCAAUGGACUCGACACUCCUGCACCAAAUUAUUUGUUGGAGGGCUUUCUUAUGACACCAAUGAAACUGUUUUGAAGGAUGCGUUUAGACAGCAUGGGGAAAUAAUUGAAGUUAAAAUUAUAUGUGAUCAUGUGAGUGGCAAGUCACAAGGGUAUGGAUUUGUGCAGUUCACUUCCGAAUCUGCAGCCUCUAUGGCUUUGAAAGAAAUGAAUGGUCAGGUACAUGAUUUGAUUAUACUUUUGUAGGAUCUUUUACUCUUUUCUUUCUGCAUUAUGGUAUGGUCUAUUAAUGUUGUGUCCAUUAAUUAAUGUUCUUUUCAGUUUCUGGAUGGUAGACAUGUUCGCGUAUGUUUUGCGCAUAAGGGGUGACAAGAAGGAGCCAUGUAUUUGUGUUUGCCAAAGAUGCAUGUUAGGAGCUUCUUCCACAGCUGGACGCUGGACUUGCAAAAAUAAGAUUAGUUUGUUAGGCAUGUCCGUAGUUUCUUUAGGCCUUGUUUAGUUCAAACUCUCUACUUCCCAGGAAGUUCUUACCCUCAUCCUGAUGGAGUUUUUAAGUUACUUUCCUUGAAUUGAAGGAAGUUGCUUCAUUUACUUCCCAGGAAGUGAGUUAAAAUGGCAACCAAACAAGUUAAAUUUGUCAACUUCUUGGGAAGUUAAAGUUCCCUAGUGAACUUACCCCAACCAAACAAGGUUUAGUUAAAUCAAAUAAAUUUCUCAUAAAAUUAAACUAAGGCCUUGUUUGUUUGGGUAAAUUCACUUACAGAAAGUUAAUAAAUUCA